UACGGGGGGGGUAAGCGUUGUUCGGAAUUACUGGGCGUAAAGGGCUCGUAGGCGGCCAACUAAGUCAGACGUGAAAUCCCUCAGCUUAACUGGGGAACUGCGUCUGAUACUGGAUGGCUUGGAUUCGGGAGAGGAAUGCGGAAUUCCAGGUGUAGCGGUGAAAUGCGUAGAUAUCUGGAGGAACACCGGUGGCGAAGGCGGCAUUCUGGACAGUUCCUGACACUGAGGCACGAAGGCCAGGGGAGCAAACGGG
rnacentral:rRNA from 1 species